CCUACGGGUGGCAGCAGUGAGGAAUAUUGGUCAAUGGGCGCGAGCCUGAACCAGCCAAGUCGCGUGAGGGAAGACGGUCCUAUGGAUUGUAAACCUCUUUUGUCGGGGAGCAAAAGACGCCACGCGUGUCGUUCCGAGCGUACCCUAAGAAAAAGCAUCGGCUAACUCCGUGCCAGCAGCCGCGGUAAUACGGAGGAUUCGAGCGUUAUCCGGAUUUAUUGGGUUUAAGGGGUGCGCAGGCGGAAGAUGAAGUCAGCGGUAAAAUUGAGAGGCUCAACCUCUUCGAGCCGUUGAAACUGGUUGUCUUGAGUGAGUGAGAAGUAUGCGGAAUGCGUGGUGUAGCGGUGAAAUGCAUAGAUAUCACGCAGAACUCCGAUUGCGAAGGCAGCAUACCGGCGCUCAACUGACGCUCAUGCACGAAAGUGUGGGUAUCGAACAGGAUUAGAUACCCGGGUAGUC
rnacentral:rRNA from 1 species